rnacentral:lncRNA from 1 species
CUUCUGAAGUAUAUGCCUAAGUGGUUGAUUAGUGAGCACCACAAUAGGGUGAGACUGAAAAUACUGCCGAAGUUUCCGUGCUGCUAUAACCAAGGCAAGGGCAAGUUGUUCCGCCAAAGUAUACCUUGUUUCCGCAUCCAGUAGGACCUUGCUUACAUAGUAGAUAGGUUGCUGGACUUUGUUGACCUCUUUCACCAAGACCCCGCU